AUACCGAUCAGAGUACUUGUAAUGAUUAAGCGGUUUUUUGGAUACAUGAAAAUUCUGGGAACAUGAAAAUUUUCAAUUAAGCGGUCAAUUUUUUCCCCCUUUCUUUUCCUAAUUCACAAACCCUCUCCUAAUUAAUUCACAAACCCUCUCUUAUUUUCAUAUAAUCUCGCUCGUCAUCUAGCUCUUUCUUUUCAUUUCAAUUCCCUCUGUUCUUCCCCCAAAAUUCUUAAAUCAGCCCUCUCUUAUUUUCGCACAUAAAUUAGGGUUGAUUAUCGUACAAUCUCGCUCGUCAUUCAUCAUAGUCCAAUUGCAAUUCUUUGUAGGCGACUUGAAACUGCUCGAAUCACAGUUUUACCGAAAUUUGUUUGCUCUCAAGACUAGUGAACAAGGAUACUAUAUAUAUCCAAGUAUGAAAUGCUCCAUCAAACAUCUAAAGAUCUAUUGGACUUUGAGCAAAAAAAUUAGAUUGGUUUUUGAAUUUGGUUUUGGAAUUUUUCUUAGUUUAAUGUAUGAAAUAUUUAGAUUGAAUUGUUUUUGUUGUUUGUAAUAAAUAUUUAGCUUAUCAAUUACAAUGGAUUUGAAUUAACUA